GCGCCAGACGCUGGACGGUUCCCCUGGCAACGGCGGCCGGCUGCCACGCCCAGCCCAGCGCCGACGUAGUCCCUGUGGACUGGGCCUGGAAACUUUGCUCUGGGCUUUCCGAGAGACUCUUCAGCUGCGGGCGUGACAACAGCACUUUCACCUACGUUUCCUAAUCUGCGAGGUGUCAUCUUCCUAAAUGUUUUCUAUCCACACUUGUUUGAAGCCCCAGAUGUCAAAUUCAGAACAGAGAAGGCCUGCUAUUUAGCACAGAUAACCAACUAAUUAACUGCAGAAACCACGUUUUGGAGUUUACGGAAACUGUACAACGUUUAAAAAACAAAAGUGAAAGUAAUCACCAAAAUCUAGUGAAAGUCUUGCAUCAAAUGAAGCAUAAAGCUGCUCACAUAACAAAAUCGUCGGGGAACUUCCUUGAGAAGAAGGUGAACAUACUGGGUCAGGAUGAAACACUUCCUGACCAUUUUGAAGUCUUAAAGUACUUCCUCCCUCAUCUAAGGACAGCAGGGAAACUUUACCCAGCCAUAGCCACCAGCCAAGGGAGAGCAGGCGUUUCUUUUGCACUGGGAAUCGCCACCAUUAACAGAGGGAACCACACCUACCUGAAGCAAACGCUGAGCUCUGUUCUCUCCAGAAUGACUCCUGAAGAAGAGGACGACUCCGUGGUGAUCGUCUCUGUCGCUGACACUGAUAAAAGUUAUUUAAAAUCUGUUGUUCGCAUGGUUAAAACCAGAUUCAGAAAGCAAGUGCAGUCCGGAGUCUUGGAAGUCAUUUCAAUACCCACCCUUUUUUAUCCUCAAACAUUACUGGACAAGAAAAUAAUAAAGAGCUCAGAAAGUUGGAAAAUAAAACAAGUAUUGGAUUUCUGUAUUCUGAUGCUGUAUGCACAGCCCAAGGCCACGUAUUAUUUACAGCUAGAAGAUGAUAUCGUAGCAAAAAAGAUGUAUUUUACAAAAAUGAAAGAUUUUAUAAAUAGUCUCACUUCAAAAGAUUGGUUUUAUAUUGAGUUUUCAGUCCUUGGAUUUAUAGGAAAACUCUUUCGAUCGAAGGACCUGACUGACUUUGUGCAGUUUUUCUUGAUGUUCUACAAAACAAAGCCCAUCGAUAUACUUUUAGAUGACGUUUUUCUGCUCCGGAUGUGCAGCUGGGGCGAGCCUCUUAGGAGAUGUUUGCAGCGAAAGAAGGAAGCUCAAGUUCAGUACAGACCAUCUCUGUUCCAGCAUGUGGGCACUCAGUCAUCAUUUCCAGGACGAGAACAGUACCUCAAGGAUCAUUAUUACUAGGAUUUUCCUAAAUUUUACAACUUCUUUAAAAAUUACCAGACUCAUUUUUGGGAAAAAGGCACAGCAAAUAUCAAAUUUUCUCGAAUUAUAAUAAAGAAGAGACUACAUUAUUUAUUUUUUAAAUUAAGCCUUCAGUAAUAAAGAAUAUUGAAGAUAAUAAACAUACAAGAAGAAACUUUGUCAUGGCUGAUCUUCUGAUAUGUCCGUUUCUAAUGGUAUCUUUCAGAAAUCAGAAGAGUGGAAAUAGAUUAACUAGAAGAAAAAAAAAGCAAUGAGCAUUUGAAUACAUCAAAUGACUUCUCAUGGCAAGGCAAAAGUAGAGAUUUUUGUCAGUGAUAUUUUUAGACUAAAGUGUUAAAGUUUAAGACAGCAAAAUUAGAGAAGUUUUAACAUUUAAGAACUAUAUCUUAUUGACUUAAGCAGCAAGGCAAUCACACAGAAAGAGCUAAAGCUCAGAAGCAUUCUUCUAUCAUGGGCAGGCUCUAUGGUAACUGGUGUGUAUGUUAUAAUUCCUUUUGGAAAGACAUCCAAAGAAAUAGGAAGUACAGAUUCGAUUCAGCCCAGGGCUGGUUGUAUCGCCCGUUUUCUUUUAACAAACACGUUUCAGCUCUAAAGCCACCACUGAGCUCUAUGUGAAUCCAUCAUCAGACACUGUGGUGAGUGAGGUACUUUUGAGAUAGUCAUUCAUUUCUAAACACAUUCCAAAUUGACCUAUGGAUUGUUUUGCAGUGUUUUUUUGAAGUUAAAAAAGUUAUGGUUGCAGUUAAAGACAAGGAACACGUUGUCUUUCUGUCUUCCUGACUCACUUCUGUCUCACUGACUUCUGACUGCACUGCUUUUGGGACGAGUUUAUCUAUGUAACGGUAUCAGAGGACUCCUGUGAAUUCAUGUGGAAUGCAUGACCCCUGGGUACCUUUUCAACUGUUGUAUUUGCUUGUCUUUAUGGAUGUUGACUUUGUAAAUUAAAAACGCCUCUUUAAAGGGGCUCGCGAGAUGGCUCA